UUCUUUGCUGGCGACCGGCGCACGGGUGAGUAACACGUAUCCAACCUGCCCUUUACUCGGGGAUAGCCUUUCGAAAGAAAGAUUAAUACCCGAUAGCAUAAUGAUUCCGCAUGGUUUCAUUAUUAAAGGAUUCCGGUAAAGGAUGGGGAUGCGUUCCAUUAGGUUGUUGGUGGGGUAACGGCCCACCAAGCCUUCGAUGGAUAGGGGUUCUGAGAGGAAGGUCCCCCACAUUGGAACUGAGACACGGUCCAA
rnacentral:rRNA from 1 species